AGUGAACGCUGGCGGUAGGCCUAACACAUGCAAGUCGAACGGCAGCACAGUAAGAGCUUGCCCUUACGGGUGGCGAGUGGCGGACGGGUGAGGAAUACAUCGGAAUCUACUUUUUCGUGGGGGAUAACGUAGGGAAACUUACGCUAAUACCGCAUACGACCUACGGGUGAAAGCAGGGGAUCUUCGGACCUUGGGCGAUUGAAUGAGCCGAUGUCGGAUUAGCUAGUUGGCGGGGUAAAGGCCCACCAAGGCGACGAUCCGUAGCUGGUCUGAGAGGAUGAUCAGCCACACUGGAACUGAGACACGGUCCAGACUCCUACGGGAGGCAGCAGUGGGGAAUAUUGGACAAUGGGCGCAAGCCUGAUCCAGCCAUACCGCGUGGGUGAAGAAGGCCUUCGGGUUGUAAAGCCCUUUUGUUGGGAAAGAAAAGCAGCAGGUUAAUACCCCGCUGUUCUGACGGUACCCAAAGAAUAAGCACCGGCUAACUUCGUG
rnacentral:rRNA from 1 species